rfam:Myotis lucifugus cont2.3309, whole genome shotgun sequence.
GAGAUACCCUUAUUGAGCAGGACUUGCUUCAGUGGGGCAUUGGUGCUCACUGAGGCUGUUCCUUGAGUGUGUAUCU